CCUAGGGUGGCUGCAGUGGGGAAUAUUGGACAAUGGGCGAAAGCCUGAUCCAGCCAUGCCGCGUGUGUGAAGAAGGCCUUCGGGUUGUAAAGCACUUUCAGUGGGGAAGAAAGCCUUGGGGCUAAUACCCUCGAGGAAGGACAUCACCCACAGAAGAAGCACCGGCUAACUCCGUGCCAGCAGCCGCGGUAAUACGGAGGGUGCGAGCGUUAAUCGGAAUUACUGGGCGUAAAGCGCGCGUAGGCGGUCUGAUAAGCCGGUUGUGAAAGCCCCGGGCUCAACCUGGGAACGGCAUCCGGAACUGUCAGGCUAGAGUGCAGGAGAGGAAGGUAGAAUUCCCGGUGUAGCGGUGAAAUGCUUAGAGAUCGGGAGGAAUCCCAGUGGCGAAGGCGGCCUUCUGGACUGACACUGACGCUGAGGUGCGAAAGCGUGGGUAGCAAACAGGAUUAGAUACCCUAGUAGUC
rnacentral:rRNA from 1 species